UGCCUGUAAUCCCAGCUACUUGGGAGGCUGAGGAGAUUGGAAGAGUCUUUACCUUUUAGGUGCUCAGAUACAGCCAUUAAACCACUGAUGAGAACUUGGAAAAAGAAACUGAAAAGUUAAAUCUGAGGAUCAGGGAGUUUUAUAGAGGAUGAUACGUUUUGGAUGAAGAAACCACCAAAUCACAAGACUCAGAAGGGAUACGUCUUAAAGACAAUGAGCUUUUCCAGGUCGUUAACAUUUGGAAAACUCAUCAUAGCAACUCUUGG
rnacentral:lncRNA from 1 species